AGCUCCAAUAGCGUAUAUUAAAGUUGUUGCAGUUAAAAAGCUCGUAGUUGGAUUUCUGGUAGGAGCGACCGUGCCGAACUUGAUUGUUCGUGUAUUGUGUUGUCUUCAGCCAUCCUCGUGGAGAACUUUUCUAACAUUAACUUGUUGGGAUUGGGACCCGCGUCGUUUACUGUGAAAAAAUUAGAGUGUUUAAAGCAGGCAUUAGCUUGAAUACAUUAGCAUGGAAUAAUAAGAUAGGACUUUGGUACUAUUUUGUUGGUUUGCAUACCAAAUUAAUGAUCAACAGGAACAGUUUGAGGAUAUUCGUAUGAACAUGUCAGAGGUGAAAUUCUUGGAUUUUGAUCAGACGAACUACUGCGAAAGCAUUUAUCAAGGAUGUUUUCAUUA
rnacentral:rRNA from 1 species